GUUGACUCCGUCACAGAACACGGUGUGGAGAGCUGUGGAGGGGAGGAACUGACCCUAUACACUGCGGUGAGCCCCCCAGGUGGCGUGGUUGUGUCUAGCAGAGGGGAGAAUCUGACAGUGUGCUGGUCCGCCCCGUCAGGUGAACGGCCUGAUGGGUACUAUGUCAGGCUACGCCCCGUCAGCCAGGCCCGUCCCAGGGAACUGUGGGUAAAUGAGUCCAGGUGCGUGUUCCUGGCCAUGUUCAGUCCAGGUCAGAACUACGAGUUAGGUGUGGCUUCAGUGAGAGGAGGGAACAAGAGCCAAGAGAUCAACACCACGUACACCACAGAGCCAGGGCCCGUGCAGGCAGCUGUCCCUCUCUCGGUAGGAAGCAGUUCUGUGGUUCUGUAUGUCCAGAGACCAGUACUGGGUGUGUGUGACGGAGUGAGGGUGUGUGUGUGUGAGGGAGUGUGUGAGGGUGUGUGUGUGUGUAAGGGUGUGUGUGAUUGGUCGCCAUUCCCCCCUGGUAAGCACACAGUAACAGUUGGCAGCCUGACUCCAGGGGAGGAGUACCAUCUUAGUGUCUACAGCACCAGCCGGCACAGGACCGGACCACCAUACCAAA